ACACUGAUGAAGGGUCCCACAAUAGGGCGAAACGGCCGUCCAGUAC
rnacentral:hammerhead_ribozyme from 1 species